rnacentral:rRNA from 1 species
UGGGGAAUAUUGGACAAUGGGCGAAAGCCUGAUCCAGCCAUGCCGCGUGUGUGAAGAAGGUCUUCGGAUUGUAAAGCACUUUAAGUUGGGAGGAAGGGCAUUAACCUAAUACGUUAGUGUUUUGACGUUACCGACAGAAUAAGCACCGGCUAACUCUGUGCCAGCAGCCGCGGUAAUACAGAGGGUGCAAGCGUUAAUCGGAAUUACUGGGCGUAAAGCGCGCGUCGGUGGUUUGUUAAGUUGGAUGUGAAAUCCCCGGGCUCAACCUGGGAACUGUAUUCAAAACUGACUGACUAGAGUAUGGUAGAGGGUGGUGGAAUUUCCUGUGUAGCGGUGAAAUGCGUAGAUAUAGGAAGGAACACCAGUGGCGAAGGCGACCACCUGGACUAAUACUGACACUGAGGUGCGAAAGCGUGGGGAGCAAACA